GACGAACGCUGGCGGUGUGCUUAACACAUGCAAGUCGAACGGUAAGGCCCUUUCGGGGGUACACGAGUGGCGAACGGGUGAGUAACACGUGAGUAACCUGCCCUCAUCUCUGGGAUAACAGUCGGAAACGGUUGCUAAUACUGGAUAUGAGCUUGCAAGGCAUCUUGUGGGUUGGAAAGAUUUUUUUUGGUUGGGGAUGGACUCGCGGCCUAUCAGCUUGUUGGUGAGGUAGUGGCUCACCAAGGCUUCGACGGGUAGCCGGCCCGAGAGGGCGACCGGCCACAUUGGGACUGAGAUACGGCCCAAACUCCUACGGGAGGCAGCAGUGGGGAAUAUUGCACAAUGGACGGAAGUCUGAUGCAGCAACGCCGCGUGCGGGAUGACGGCCUUCGGGUUGUAAACCGCUUUCAAUUGUGACGAAGCUUUUUUGUGACGGUAGCAGUAGAAGAAGCACCGGCUAACUACGUG
rnacentral:rRNA from 1 species